UACGGAGGGUGCAAGCGUUAUCCGGAUUUACUGGGUUUAAAGGGUGUGUAGGCGGGUCUUUAAGUCAGUGGUGAAAUCUCCGAGCUUAACUUGGAAACUGCCAUUGAUACUAUUGAUCUUGAAUUUUGUUGAGGUAGGCGGAAUAUGUCAUGUAGCGGUGAAAUGCAUAGAUAUGACAUAGAACACCAAUUGCGAAGGCAGCUUACUAAGCAAAAUAUUUGACGCUGAGGCACGAAAAAGCGUGGGGGAUCAAAACAGG
rnacentral:rRNA from 1 species